rnacentral:rRNA from 1 species
AUUGUAUUGGAAUGAUGGCGACGUAAAAGCUCGCCAGAGUACCAAUUGGAGGGCAAGUCUGGUGCCAGCAGCCGCGGUAAUUCCAGCUCCAAUAGCGUAUAUUAAACUUGUUGCAGUUAAAAAGCUCGUAGUUGAACUUCAGCCUGUUCGAUAAGUGCCUUUGCGGCGUCUGAUCGAGUUGGCUUAUCUUUUUACUUUGAGAAAAUUAGAGUGUUUCAAGCAGACUUUUGUCUUGAAUACUUCAGCAUGGAAUAAUAGAGUAGGACCUUGGUUCUAUUUUGUUGGUUUCUGAACCUGGGUAAUGGUUAAUAGGAACGGUUGGGGGCAUUCGUAUUUAACUGUCAGAGGUAAAUUUCUUAGA